rnacentral:rRNA from 1 species
CGAGCGGCGGACGGGUGAGUAACACGUGGGCAACCUGCCUGUAAGACUGGGAUAACCCCGGGAAACCGGGGCUAAUACCGGAUAACACUUUUCGUUGCAUAACGAGAAGGUGAAAGGCGGCCUUUUGGCUGUCACUUACAGAUGGGCCCGCGGCGCAUUAGCUAGUUGGUAGGGUAACGGCCUACCAAGGCAACGAUGCGUAGCCGACCUGAGAGGGUGAUCGGCCACACUGGGACUGAGACACGGCCCAGACUCCUACGGGAGGCAGCAGUAGGGAAUCUUCCGCAAUGGACGAAAGUCUGACGGAGCAACGCCGCGUGAGUGAUGAAGGUUUUCGGAUCGUAAAACUCUGUUGUUAGGGAAGAACAAGUGCCGUUCAAACAGGGCGGCACCUUGACGGUACCUAACCAGAAAGCCCCGGCUAACUACGUGCCAGCAGCCGCGGUAAUACGUAGGGGGCAAGCGUUGUCCGGAAUUAUUGGGCGUAAAGCGCGCGCAGGCGGUCCUUUAAGUCUGAUGUGAAAGCCCACGGCUUAACCGUGGAGGGCCAUUGGAAACUGGAGGACUUGAGUACAGAAGAGGAGAGUGGAAUUCCACGUGUAGCGGUGAAAUGCGUAGAGAUGUGGAGGAACACCAGUGGCGAAUGCGACUCUCUGGUCUGUAACUGACGCUGAGGUGCGAAAGCGUGGGGAGCGAACAGGAUUAGAUACC